UCUUGACCUUUACCUUUGACAUGAAGUCCAAAGCUCAUAUGAGUGAGCCACCCAGGCGCCCCUAGGGACUUUUAUUAUUAAGCUUUAGCCUUAGCUCAAACCACUGAGUGAAUAUUAUAAUUCGUCUCUCCUGGAAAUUUCACCUCCAAUCUGCUUGUGAACUCCAGCUGUGGAUUUUUCCGUUUUUCUGAGGCCACACACAGGUUUGAAUUCUCUCUGUGUUGACCUUCCAUCCUUUGUUCUGAUAGCUACCUUCUCCCUGGAUCCUGUGUCGGUACUCCGCUGUUAUAUGGAAGCAAUAUAAGUUUAAUAUUUAGUUACUGUAAUCUAAAGACGGUGUUUUACUGAAGUAUGAAAACCUUGAGGGGAAAUGGUGUCCCUAAAAUACUUAAGGUCAAGCUAUCCCUGUUGAAACCCUGGCUCAAAGAUUCCUCUGGAAAUGACCAAAUUCUCAACAGACAAGUUCAAGUAAACUCCUGAACUAGAUAUAUCAGUGUUCAUAAUUGUACCACCAAUGCAUAUUUGAUAAAUGACUAUGUAAAUAUCUUGA